GCAACUGCUGUUCCGUACGAUGAUUGCGAGAUUCGACCGGUGCUUUCGUAAAGCACAGGUCGGGGGUUCGAGUCCCCCGGGUGGCU
rnacentral:tRNA from 1 species